AAGCAGGCAAAGGAGAGAGAGAGAACCUUCCUUCUUCCAAUGUCCUUAUGUAGUCUCCAGCAGAAGGUGUAUCCCAGAUUAAAGGUAUGUGCCACCACACCUUUAAUCCCGGAUGACCUUGAACUCAGAGAUUGCCCUGUCUUAAUCUUCUGAAUUCCAUAGCCACUAUGCUCCAAGAUCUCCAUAUCAAGACAUAGGUCAGAAACUUCUAUCUCUCAGCCUCCAGAUUAGGAUCACUGAUGAGUCUUCCAAUUCUGGAUUGUAGUUCAUUCCAGAUAUUGUCAAGUUGACAACCAGGGAUAGCCACUAUAGCAGCUGUGAUAAAACUGUGAGCUAUUUAAAUAUAGCUUAACUUCAUUCUUGCAGAAAGCAAUAGCAGAUUCUUGAAUUAUCACACAUAGUGCCCAGUAUGUAAUACUUAAAAGUAAAUUAAUACUGUUUCCAAGAGAAAAAAUAAAUACAACUAUUAAAGAGAAACGAUAAAGUGGAUUGUGUGAGAUCUGAAUAAGUGACAAACAAAAAAGUUAAACUGGGGGGAGAGUAGAUGAAUCUUGGGUUGAGGGAAUCCAUGGCUCUUGUAGAGGAUAGUUCAAUUCCCAGCUCCCCAUUGUGAAAUUCACAGACUCCUAUAACUCCAGCUUCAGAAGUCUUCUUGGUUCCAAUGGUACUGUACUCAUGGGUACAUACCUACAUAAAAAGGGUAUAAAUAAUUCCAAAUUUAAGAUAAUUUUGAAUGAUCCUAAUAUUUCCAUUUGUAAUAUUUUUGUUUCAAAAAUAAAAAGAAAUGCAAUUGGUUUACCUAAUUGAUUAAAAGUGUAUCAACAAUGAUCUCAGUCAAUAACCUGACUUAUUAUUUUAAGUUUUAUUUUAUAAUGGAAACAAGUUUUUUUUUUUAAUCUUUGAACAUAUUUUCAGUAUUUGAGACCAGGUAAUUAAGUAUGCAAAAUCUUUUAGGGUGUUGUUACUCAGAUUUAUUUAAUUCUUGGGUUUUUUUUGUUGCUGUUGUUUUGUUUUUAAAUGUCCCUGUUGUGCUUUGAAUCAAAAUGUGUGUCUGUCUCCAAGAAAUUUUAAACCAUUUUGAGAUCAAAUUCAAUAUGAUAUCAAAAGACAAACUGUUAUUCUCAGUUGUCAUAGGCAAGUGAAUGAAGUGGACAAAUGUAUUUUAUGAAUCCAGAAAAAAAACAAUUUCUACAGAUUCACAAGAUUAAGAAAUAUUUCCAAAAUAGAGUGGUUUAUAUAGGAUGUAGAGAAAAUCCAACAUAGAUGAAUAGAUUCAGGUGAUGGCUCUACUUACUUAACUUCAGAAAUUUAAAUGGGGAGUUUAGGGUAGGAAAAAUUCCAUUUUCUCAGGAGUCUUUGCAAGUUGCUACUACUAUUUUUCUUGAGAAAAUAUCAUUAUCUGGUUCCCCUUGAAUAAUCAGUAGUGUGAUAUGUUCUGUCACCUUUAUCACACACAUGUUUUUUACUGCAUGACUAAAGAUGACUGUAGCAUUGCGGACCUACAGACAAGGAUUGCCAAGACAAUUUUGUCACCUCCUUUAAUCUUGUGUCAAAUAAAGCAACAGGCAUAAGGGAGCAUGAGUGACCCCCGAGACCAGGGUGAAAGCAGUGGCUCUUAUUUGUACAUGCUAACCAUUCACAUGGUGACCAUGGUGGCAGAGAGCUACCUGAGGAUCAGUCAUAAAUUCACUGACUUGUUGAAGAGGUAGCUGAUUUCUUAACUAAGGAUCAAACUCAUAACAUUAUCACUUCAGAGGUGAAAAAUCUAAAUGUGAAGCCCAAGGGAACACAAACAUUCAACUCUGCUUCUGAAAGGAGACUUUCACAGAGACCACAUACCAAAUAUACUGUAUAACAGAUAUACACAUUACAAUUCCAUACCAGUAACAAAAUUAUAGUUGUGAAGUAGAAAAGAAAUAACUCUAUGGUUAGAGUCACUGCAACUUGAAAUACUGUAAUAAAGGCUCACAGCAUUAGGAAGAUUAACAACUGCUGAUUCAAGUCAAUUAUAACCUCUUCUUCACGGUCUUCAUCAUUGAUUUAAGAAUGCAAACUAAUGUUAUCAAUAGUUAGGACACACUGUAUAGAUUGAUUUGUAUUGGUAUCUUAAAUUACUACUAUGUUUCAACAGUAUUAUUUCUAAAGUAUAAAUAUUAUUGUUAAACUCUUCAAGAUACUUUUUUAAAGUGGAACAAUCAAAAUGCUAUACGAUUACCCUUUUAUUCAUAUAUAAAUUGUGAGAUAUAAAUAGUAGGCUGUCUUAGUUAAGGUUUCCACUGCUGU
rnacentral:lncRNA from 1 species